UAGUCCACGCCGUAAACGAUGAGAACUAGUUGUUAGAGAGGUUACUCUUUAGCGACGUAGCUAACGCGUUAAGUUCUCCGCCUGGGGAGUACGGUCGCAAGACUAAAACUCAAAGGAAUUGACGGGGGCCCGCACAAGCGGUGGAUCAUGUGGUUUAAUUCGAAGAAACGCGAAAAACCUUACCCGGGUUUGAAAUCCCACGAAUCCUCUAGAGAUAGAGGAGUGCCCUUCGGGGAAUGUGGUGACAGGUGCUGCAUGGCUGUCGUCAGCUCGUGUUGUGAAAUGUUGGGUUAAGUCUCGCAACGAGCGCAACCCCUGUCCUUAGUUGCCAGCAUUAAGUUGGGCACUCUAGGGAGACUGCCGAGGUUAACUCGGAGGAAGGUGGGGAUGACGUCAAGUCCUCAUGGGCCCUUAUAUCCGGGGGCUACACACGUGAUACAAUGGACGAUACAAAGGGGAUGCUAGCUCGCGAGAGUACGCAAAUCUCAAAAAGUCGUUCUCAGUCCGGGAUUGGGAGUCUGCAACUCGACU
rnacentral:rRNA from 1 species